UACAGAGGUCUCAAGCGUUGUUCGGAUUCAUUGGGCGUAAAGGGUGCGUAGGCGGCGCGGUAAGUCGGGUGUGAAAUCUCGGAGCUUAACUCCGAAACUGCAUUCGAUACUGCCGUGCUUGAGGACUGGAGAGGAGACUGGAAUUUACGGUGUAGCGGUGAAAUGCGUAGAUAUCGUAAGGAAGACCAGUGGCGAAGGCGGGUCUCUGGACAGUUCCUGACGCUGAGGCACGAAGGCCAGGGGAGCAAAUGGG
rnacentral:rRNA from 1 species